GAUGAAGAACGCAGCGAAAUGCGAUAAGUAGUGUGAAUUGCAGAAUUCAGUGAAUCAUCGAAUCUUUGAACGCACAUUGCGCCCUUUGGUAUUCCAAAGGGCAUGCCUGUUCGAGCGUCAUUUGUACCCUCAAGCUUUGCUUGGUGUUGGGCGUCUUGUCUCUAGCUUUGCUGGAGACUCGCCUUAAAGUAAUUGGCAGCCGGCCUACUGGUUUCGGAGCGCAGCACAAGUCGCACUCUCUAUCAGCAAAGGUCUAGCAUCCAUUAAGCCUUUUUUUUCAACUUUUGACCUCGGAUCAGGUAGGGAUACCCGCUGAACUUAAGCAUAUCAAUAAGCGGAGGA
rnacentral:misc_RNA from 1 species